rnacentral:rRNA from 1 species
GAUGAACGCUGGCGGCGUGCCUAAUACAUGCAAGUCGAGCGAACUGAUUAGAAGCUUGCUUCUAUGACGUUAGCGGCGGACGGGUGAGUAACACGUGGGCAACCUGCCUGUAAGACUGGGAUAACUUCGGGAAACCGAAGCUAAUACCGGAUAGGAUCUUCUCCUUCAUGGGAGAUGAUUGAAAGAUGGUUUCGGCUAUCACUUACAGAUGGGCCCGCGGUGCAUUAGCUAGUUGGUGAGGUAACGGCUCACCAAGGCAACGAUGCAUAGCCGACCUGAGAGGGUGAUCGGCCACACUGGGACUGAGACACGGCCCAGACUCCUACGGGAGGCAGCAGUAGGGAAUCUUCCGCAAUGGACGAAAGUCUGACGGAGCAACGCCGCGUGAGUGAUGAAGGCUUUCGGGUCGUAAAACUCUGUUGUUAGGGAAGAACAAGUACAAGAGUAACUGCUUGUACCUUGACGGUACCUAACCAGAAAGCCACGGCUAACUACGUGCCAGCCGCCGCAGUAAUAC